rnacentral:rRNA from 1 species
AUUGAACGCUGGCGGCAUGCUUUACACAUGCAAGUCGAACGGUAACAGGCCGCAAGGUGCUGACGAGUGGCGAACGGGUGAGUAAUGCAUCGGAACGUGCCCAGUCGUGGGGGAUAACGCAGCGAAAGCUGCGCUAAUACCGCAUACGAUCUGUGGAUGAAAGCGGGGGACCGUAAGGCCUCGCGCGAUUGGAGCGGCCGAUGUCAGAUUAGGUAGUUGGUGGGGUAAAGGCUCACCAAGCCAACGAUCUGUAGCUGGUCUGAGAGGACGACCAGCCACACUGGGACUGAGACACGGCCCAGACUCCUACGGGAGGCAGCAGUGGGGAAUUUUGGACAAUGGGCGCAAGCCUGAUCCAGCAAUGCCGCGUGCAGGAAGAAGGCCUUCGGGUUGUAAACUGCUUUUGUACGGAACGAAACGGUCCUGGUUAAUACCUGGGGCUAAUGACGGUACCGUAAGAAUAAGCACCGGCUAACUACGUGCCAGCCGCCGCAGUAAGAC